rnacentral:rRNA from 1 species
GAUGAACGCUAGCUACAGGCUUAACACAUGCCAGUCGCGGGGCAGCAUGGGGGUUGCUUGCAAUCCCCGAUGGCGACCGGCGCACGGGUGAGUAACGCGUAUCCAACCUGCCCUUCACCACGGGAUAACCCGGCGAAAGUCGGACUAAUACCGUAUGUUGUCCAUUGACGGCAUCCGAUUUGGACGAAAGGCUUGGCGGUGAGGGAUGGGGAUGCGUCCGAUUAGCCAGACGGCGGGGUAACGGCCCACCGUGGCUACGAUCGGUAGGGGUUCUGAGAGGAAGGUCCCCCACACUGGAACUGAGACACGGCCCAGACUCCUACGGGAGGCAGCAGUGAGGAAUAUUGGUCAAUGGGCGUAAGCCUGAACCAGCCAAGUAGCGUGCAGGAUGACGGCCCUAUGGGUUGUAAACUGCUUUUAUGCGGGGAUAAAGUGGCCCACGUGUGGGCUUUUGCAGGUACCGCAUGAAUAAGGACCGGCUAAUUCCGUG